UUUUUUUUUAAGUAAAUAGCAGCUUUCAAAUAUACAAUACUAUACUGUUAACUAUAGUCACCAUGCUAUACAUUACAUCCCAGAACUUGUUCACCUUACAACUAGAAGUUUGUACCUUUUGAUCACCUUUGCCUGUUUUAGAAAGUUCUUUAAGGAUACCAGGUCCUAUGGCAUCUAUAUGCCUGGCAGCAUGAUUAUAUCUGUUUGGUCGCCUCUGGUUGUAAUGAAAAAUUCCUUGUGAAAUAGGACUGCAACCCGAGUUUCCCCAGGCCUCCUCAAACUGUGAAUAUAAACAGAAGCACACUAAUAAUUAGAACUCAAAUUCUAUUGGUCCUUGCAUCUACCUGGCAGGACCUCAACAACCUGUAAAAUUGGAGUGUUUCUGGAAGUACAAGUGCUCUCUGAGGUCAGGUGCUUCUGGAAAUCAGAUGUGCUCAUGACUAAUCUGGCCAUCUACCGUGGCUGUCUCUGACACCUGCUGGGUACUUCUGUGUCACCGGGUGCUACUGCCAUGUCACCAGGCUUGCACACUCUAUCAGACCACACUGUCACUCUUGUUGCCACCAGAGAAACCAAAGAUGUGCAGUGGGAUGUGCAGUGGGAUAGGGAUGAUGCCCAACACCUGCCUGAUAUUGAUGAAUGUUGACAUUACAGCAAGUUCAAAGGUACCAACACAGUGAUGUUUGUGUUACUGAGCCAUACAGAAUUUGGGGGUUUUCACUAUAUUGUAGACUUGAAACUAAUUUAACACUAUAUAUUAACUAUACUGAAAUUAAAAUAAAAACUUAGGGACGCCUGGGUGGCUCAGCAGUUGAGCCUCUGCCUUUGACUCAGGGCGUGAUCCCAGGGUCCAGGAUCAAGGCCCACAUCGGGUUCCCUGCAAGGAACCUGCUUCCCCCUCCACCUAUUUCUCUGCCUCUCUCUGUGUGUGUUUUAUGAAUAAAUAAAUAAAAUAUUUUUAAAAUAAAAUUAAAAUUAAUAAUUAAUAAUAUAGGGAUCCCUGGGUGGCGCAGCGGUUUGGCGCCUGCCUUUGGCCCAGGGCACGAUCCUGGAGACCCGAGAUCGAAUCCCACAUCGGGCUCCCGGUGCAUGGAGCCUGCUUCUUCCUCUGCCUGUGUCUCUGCCUCUCUCUCUCUCUGUGACUAUCAUAAAUAAAUAAAAAAUAAAAAAAAUAAAAAAAAUAAUUAAUAAUAUAAAUAAAGAGAGAUUUGAGAGAAAAAAAGAAUUUUAGGUUUUGUUUAUGGCUUGACUUUUAUAGGCAACAUGUUUCCCCACAGUAACCAGAUCUCUAUCACUGGGUCAGGCAUACCUGGCCUGUUCUUUAUUUAAAAUGAGUUCUCCCCUUAGAAGCUCCUCAGCCUCCCUUUCAUAUAUCCUUUAGGUGCCAUUGCAUGCAUACCCACACAUAGUCAAACCCCAGCUCCAGCUCCAGCUGAGAUCCCUCUAUAUAGCAGUCACACCUACUGGAAGGCUAAAUGAAAGUGCCAACUUUGGAAGAAAAAAAAACAUUCUUUCAGUUUCCUCUAGAAAAGGGUUCUGUGGUUCAAGUUCGGGGUUUACUAUUUUGGGAGAAAUAAAUUUUUUAUUUGGAGCAAGUCAUAUAUUUCUUCCUUUGGUAUAAAAUUUCACCAAAAUAAUUUAAAGCUUGAACCCUAAAAUUCCCAUUUGCUCACUCUCAAAAGUAAAUGAGUAUUUAAGCCAGGCAAACAGAACCACUUAUAUUUAAUGGUGCCAUAAAUGGGUUGCAAAAUAUUUUAACCCAUUGAUAAUCCUUUGGGCAGUUACUCUCAAGGAAUGAAAGAGUAGCUUAUAAAUGCUAUUUGUAGGAUUGGUAACAUACCCAAGAAUUCCAGUAACUCUCCACUGUUUCACUGGAUAAUUUUCACCUGGCUAAAUGCAAGCACAAGAAAUGGACAGUGAGUCUCAGAACUGUUUUUCUCUGCUAAUCUCUUCACUUCUGUGCACUUGUUCUCCCCAGCACAAGUAUCCUCACUGGUUAUCAGUCUUGGCAACAGCAGAUGGCCUUUCCAUUCCACUUUUAGAUCAAGAGUUCUAAAACAUGAUACCAGUCCUUUUCUUUAUCCCCUCACUUAAUCACCCCCUGAAUCUGGUGAAUAUGUUUGGGCUACUUGUUAGCAAGAAAUCCUGAUUCUGUUGCAAAGCAGACUCUCCUUUCCAUUCUCAAAGUCUUGAUUCAUGUUUUGAGAGGCAAUAUAGCAUGGCAGUCAAGAGCAAAGACAAUGGGCACAGAUCAUCCACAUUCAAAUCCCAAUUCCUCACUUGUGUUUGUAAGAUCUUGGGUAAGUUACUUAAACUUUCUAAACUUCAAUUUCCUUAUUUUUAGAAUGAAGACAAUGAUAAGACCCAUCUUAUAGAUUUGUUGUUAGGAUUACAUGAGUAACAUACAUAAAGCCGCUAGAAGAGUGUCUAGUACAUAAUAGGCAUUAGUUGUUGCUAAUACUUUAUAACUUUUCUGUUGAGGAGAGGAGGAGGCAAAGCUGGCAAGAUUCUGAAGACAAAUACCAUUAUCUAAAAGGGAUUUGGUUCACAGCUGAGUGACACUGAGAAAGUAACUCUCUAAACCUCUGUCUCCUCAUCUAUAAAAUGGUGCUAUUUGAAAAAAAUGCAUGUAAAUUAUUUGGCAAUGACCUAACAUGCAGUAAACAUUAUUAAUAUUAGCUCCUGUAUCAUCUGUAAAAUAAUCCAUAAUUAUGUCUGCUUUAUAAGAGUACUGUAGUGAGAUAAAAUAGGCGAAGGAUUAGCAUAAUGAUUUAAUAUUUAUUAAGUAGAGGGCUGACACAGUUUCCUUUCCACACUUUGCUCUCAAACUUACGGAACUAUAUAGUUUCUUUUUUAAUUACCCUUGCCUUUCCUUCCCUUGACAGUUAUACCUGGAAGUUCAAAGAAUGAAGGGAAUCAGUGAUUACAGAAAUUCUACCUACCAACAAACAAGACCCUCCACAAAUCUAUAACCGAUAAGCAUAUCUUUAUCUAAAGUGAGGAUUUAUCUGGAUAAUUGAAUUUCUGGCAACAUAUCAGACUAAGUAUCAGUACCAACCCUUCCUGGAAAUGACUAAAAAUACUGGAUAUAAUAUAGGAACAUCUUGAAUGCAUCCAUAUGAAAGCAAAAGAGUAAGGAGCACCUAAAAAGGCAGUAUUGAAUCAGCUCUACCCUGAGAGUAUUUGCUGAACCCAAAGAACUUGAGCACGGAUUUUUGUGCCCUGAAAACACAAAGCAAAGCCCCAGGACCACCCACGUUGGAGUGUCUUAUAUUAGAACCCUCAUAAAACUAGGGCCCAAACACAGAAAUUCAUGAAAGAAGGGAUGAAAAUACACUACCCAUUUCUACCAUCCCCAUAAAAAAAGACUGCAGGGAAGACUAGCAGUUUCAAAACUUGGCAGUGAGUAGAAUGGGGGAAAAUUAUACCCUGAGAAUUUAUAACCACAAACUACCCUUCCACAAGUUAGUGAAACAAAUUUUCACUUUUGAAGCAGCCUAAAUAAAAACUGAAGUCAAUUUUAUUUAAAGUGGUCCUGGACUGGUAAUGCCCCAGGUAUCUAACAAAAGCAAAUGCAAAUCCUUUGUAGGAAAUAGUCUCUUUCUUCUAAGAUACAAAGAAUCUCAAUGAAUACUUUUUCAAGGAAAACUAAACAAUGUAAGGGUCAAAAGUACUAAAGAAGGAAACAAAACUAUGAGUAAGAGCUAGCAGAAACAAAAGUUAGCACAAUCAGACCUAAAACACUUCAGAUACUUAAAUUAUCAGAUACAGAAAAGAUAGGACAGAUGGAAAACAUAGAAGACAAUAAAAAUAAACCUAAAUAUGUCUGCAAUUACAAAAAAUAUAAGCAGAUUAACUGCUUCAGUUAAAAGACAAAGAUGCUAAACUGAGGGGUUUUUUUAAUCUUUUUUACACUAUUUAUAAGAGAAAUGUCUAAAACUUAAAAACACAGACUGAGAAUGUAUCAGUAAAAAAGAUACAGAAGGAUAUAAAAGGUAAAUACCAAAGGGGGGCACCUGAGUGGCUCAGUCAGUUAAGCAUGUGCCUUUGACUCGGGUCCAGGGUUCUGGGAUCGAGCAUUGGGCUCCCUGUUCAGUGGUCAGUGUGCUUCUCUCUCUCUCUCUCUCAAAUAAAUAAAAUCUGAAAGAAGAAAGAAAGAAAGAAGAAAGAAGAAAGAAAGAAAGAAAGAAAGAAAGAAAGAAAAAAAAGAAAAGAAAGAAAGAAAAAAAGAAAGAAGAAGAAAGAAAGAAAAAGAAAAGAAAGAAAGAAAGAAGAAAGAAAGAAGAAAGAAAGAGAAAAGAAAGAAAGAAAGAAAAGAAGAAGAAGAAAGAAAGAAAGAAAG
rnacentral:lncRNA from 1 species